AGCUCCGGUGCCGUCGGCGCCUUCCCAAAGCAAGAACCCGGGGAGAAAACACCCCACCAAGCCCCACCCCUCCCGCCCGAGGCACGCGAUCACUCGGGCGGGUGAACAUCACCGGCUCAGCUGGAUUCUCGAACCCCCGACACCUCUACGCUCAGCGCACACAACCCCGAAAAAGACUUCGGCCCCCGCCGGGACGGCAAUCCCAGUGCGAGGGCCUGACCACCAAGGAAGUCGGCCUUCCCG
rnacentral:ncRNA from 21 species